AACGAACGCUGGCGGCACGCCUAACACAUGCAAGUCGAGCGCUACCUUCGGGUGGAGCGGCGGACGGGUUAGUAACGCGUGGGAACGUACCCAGAUCUGCGGAAUAGCCUUUGGAAACGAAGAGUAAUACCGCAUACGCCCUUCGGGGGAAAGAUUUAUCGGAUUUGGAUCGGCCCGCGUAAGAUUAGAUAGUUGGUGGGGUAAUGGCCUACCAAGUCUACGAUCUUUAGCUGGUUUGAGAGGAUGAUCAGCAACACUGGGACUGAGACACGGCCCAG
rnacentral:rRNA from 1 species